rnacentral:lncRNA from 1 species
AACGAGUGCGAGCGCGAGAACCAAGACCUCACCUAUGUUUAGUUUGAGCGGUUGGGUGGUGAAGAAGAUGGCCGGAGGGUGGGUGUCGACGGUAGGGCCGGGUAAACUGUGAUUCUCGGCGGCUCGGUAAACUGUGGACGGAGCGGAGGGGCUAAGUAUGUAGCUAAGGGAGUGGAUGGGGAGCGGGCGAGAGGGAUUUGAAAGGGAUGGCUCACGGUGGGGGUAUUUAGCCACUGAGGGAGGUUUUGGUGUUUUGGCAGUGGUGGACGGGGAACACCGGAUUCCCAGCCGGUGGAGGCACGGCGAGCUGCAGUGAUAGGGUGAGGAGGUGGCUAGGCGAGUGGAGGAGGUGAUGGUGCGGUGGACUUAGACGAGGUGGCCGGAGUGGGCGUAGGGCAUUGGCGAGCAGAGGUUGGUCAGGCGCAUCAAUGGUGGAAGGAAGGGGGCAAGGGUUUCGGGAGCCGGCGGCUUUACUUAAAAAGGCAAGGGGAGCAAGGGCAACGAUGGGAUUUCGCGUGGUGCCAGCCACGGUGACCAAUCUGGCACCGAGCGACCUGCUGGCACCGCCAGUGGUGCCCAACCAGUGAGCAUGCAGGUGCGGGAGAGGUGGAAGGAGAUGCUAACUCGUGGGCCCAGCGAAAUUAAACCGUUCAACUUUCCUCACUUCAAACAACCUAGCUAGAGG